AGAACGAACGCUGGCGGCAUGCCUAAUACAUGCAAGUCGAACGAACACUUCGGUGUUAGUGGCGCACGGGUGCGUAACGCGUGGGAAUCUGCCCUUGGGUUCGGAAUAACAGUUGGAAACGACUGCUAAUACCGGAUGAUAUCGAAAGAUCAAAGAUUUAUCGCCCAGGGAUGAGCCCGCGUAGGAUUAGCUAGUUGGUGAGGUAAAAGCUCACCAAGCCGACGAUCUGUAGCUGGUUUGAGAGAACGACCAGCCACACUGGGACUGAGACACGGCCCAGACUCCUACGGGAGGCAGCAGUGGGGAAUUUUGGACAAUGGCGAAAGCCUGAUCCAGCAAUGCCGCGUGCAGGAAGAAGGCCUUCGG
rnacentral:rRNA from 1 species